rnacentral:rRNA from 1 species
ACACCGAGCGAACUCAAAGCCUGUCUCAGUUCGGAUCGGAGUCUGNAACCCGACUCCGUGAGGCUGGAUUCGCUAGUAAUCGCGCAUCAGCCAUGGCGCGGUGAAUACGUUCCCGGGCCUUGUACACACCCGCCCGUCAAGCCAUGGAAGCCGGGAGUGCCUGAAGUAUGCAACCGCAAGGAGCGUCCUAAGGUAAAACCGGUGACUGGGGCUAAGUCGUAACAAGGUAGC